CAAAGGAAGCUUAAGAAGGAUCACACAGAAAAUACUGAAAGCAACAAAUCAUUGUGGUUGUGGCUGUUCCUAUUUAUGAUAAUUUAUUGUGCAUUUGUUUUGGGAGGCAAUCUUGCGUUGUCUUUCUUAAAAUAAAAAUAAAAAAUUAAAUCUGAAGCUUUUGGAAAACAAAAUCGCUGAUAAAUCCUUCUAACAUCACACCCCAUCUUUCAAUGGUACAGGGCAGAUCAUCCUCCACUCGCAGAUUAAGUGUGUGCUGUUUUGCUCACAUGUUAAUAAAUUUUUCUCAUUUGUGAGAGUCACUGAAUAGAGCAAGUGAAUUGUUUUACCCAGUAGGUGGUGGAGCAAUAAUGAAGCAUUGUGAUUAAGUAGCGUUGGAACCUCUUAUCUUCCUCACUGAGUGGGAGGUACCAUUAGUAGUAAAAGUAAUUACCUGUGUAGAACAUGCUGAUUGCAUCAAGUAUAUCUACAACAUGAUACAAUGGGAGACUUCAAAACUUUAUGGGCUUUAAGGGAAUUCCAUUUGCCGGCGGUUUCAAAUCUUAAUCAAUUGCACCAGGGUUUUGGUUUUUUUAAUGUUGAAUUGAUGUCUAAGUUGCAAACAACUUAGCCGAAAAGCUCUUUUUUUCUCAUCAAAAUGUUUGUGUCAUAAUUGGUCCUUUUGAAACAAAUGGACCAUUGGAUGCAACAGUUAAAUUGCUUGUAAGUUUCUAGUCAUAAAAGCAACUUGCAAAGUUAGCAUAGAGACACUACUCCGCAGAACAUUUCAGACUCCACUUAAGCUUUCUGGUGAAACCCAAUAUUUGUUCCAAACCACCAUAGUCUUCUCAAAGCAAGAUCUUUGUUUUAGCAAACAGAAAAAGUAAAGCAGAAUUCCUCCAAAACACGGAUGAAAUGAUAGGGGAACACGCCCUGGCUCAACUUGGAAUGAUAUUCAUUAACUAUUUUACUAGCAUUCCAAAUCAUUUCUAUGAUAGUUUGCAUUAUUUUGCACCUUGCCCAAAUUUACACUCCCCAAAUAAGAAUCAAGACAGGACCUGGAAGUCUUCCUACCAUCCGCUUCCUCCCAUUCCUAAACUUAACCUUGAGGCAUUAUGGGAGAUGUAGGAAAUGCAGCCUGCGUGGUUCCUAGUGACUCUUGUCUUCCCCUGUUUGCCUUUCUCAAAAUGAUAUUAGUGAAUUGAAGGCGGGAACCUUGGAAAGUAUGCAAAAUGUAGUUCCCAUGCUACCCGACAUCCUUAUAUGCUGCCAUGCAUGCUUUCAGCAGGGUCAAGACCUAAUUCCUGCCUUCCUCAUGAGUCCCCUCACUUGAAUGCGUUCAGGAGAGGAGAGAAUGGGAAGAGGGCUUGUGGCUGAGGAAGUUGUGGCCUGUUUCAUCCCACACAUGUAUUGUCUUAUUGCUACGAGGCUCUUGUCACUUUUGCUGUGAUGCAACAACAAGGGAGCAAAUGGGAGCAAAUAUACCCUUAUUCUGCUCAAUAUAGACUAGCGCACUGUGAUGGGAAAAGCAGGAUUUUCCCCCUUUCAGAAAAUGAUCACACAGACAUUUUCAUUGGUUCUCUCAGCUAUUUUUGGCAACAUAUUAGGACAUAUUGAUUUGAUAAUGAGUGGCAUAUGCACUAAUGAAUGCAGCAAACUGUCAUGGAAUUGAUUGCCCAGUUCUCCACCAUUGUCUGUUCUAACCAGACGAAAGCUUGUCACAGUAAUGGCAAAUCUUUAUCAACUCUGUUGAAUCAACAGGCUUGCAAAAUUGUGUCUCUUUUAAAAAACAAAACACACCCCUCCAAUCUGGAGAAUUAAUCUUUGCCUUCUAAAAGUUAGGUUCUCAAGCAGAAUCUGCACAAGUCUGUAGAAAUUCUCAGAAAGGGUGUGUGUCUGUCUGUAUUUAUAUUUAGAUCUAGGCCAUAUAAUUUAUUUAAUAUUAUUUAUUAAUGGCAUUUGUAAGCUAUGCCAUAAUACAAACUUCUCAGGGCAGAUUACAGUGAACACAUAUUAAAACAAUUUAAAUGCAAAAUAUGUCAGAAAACCAUAAAAUCAAAAGCAACAUUACUGGACAGCAAAAAAACAAACAAACAAACAAUAAAAUCUCACCAUGACAUCAAAAGUUAAUACACAAAUUAAAAAACUGAGAGGCCCAGACCGCCAAUUAAAAACCCUGGAUGAACAGAAAGGUCUUUGCCUGGUGCUGUGAACUGAGUGUAUUCUUCUUUCUCUUGCAUUGAACACUAUCAAAUUUAGUAGCAUGGGAUAAAUAGAGUGCCUGGAAUCAGUCUCUCCCCCUCCAGAGAGCAAGUAUUUGAUAGGAAUAGAGCAAGUAUUUUUUUAAAAAAAAUAUAUAUGGAUGGGUUUGGAAAUGUGAGCUUCCUCCUUGAAGAGUAACCUGGCUCAACUGGACUCAAAAUGGGAUUCAAAUCUCUACCCGACCUGCUAACAUUUUCCUUCGAAUUCCUUUUAGAGAAGAUGCAAAGUCUUACCAUUUCUUGUAAAAGAAGGGGAAAGUCUCCAGAAGGAUUCUGCACGUGCAGUAUCUGGAAAUCACAAAAAUGUUGGCUGCUGAAGGGUUAGCUCUGCAUGUGGUGGCAAAAUAGAUGGCAGUCAACACUUCUCAAGGAACCACCCUAAAAUUUAAAUUGUGUUCCCUCACUGUGAGAAUUGCUAAAAUAACAAUGCUAAUGAUUCCCAUCUCAGUCUGCGAGUGCGCGUGUGCAGUGACAAGGUGCUGCCGUUUGGCUUUGUGAAGUUUGCAUGCAACUUAAAAGUUCAGAUAAAGUAGAUAUAGAAAAAAGAAAUGGGGGAACAUCAAGAUGAGUUGAGGGACAGUUGGUGCACAGGGGGAAAUAAGCCAAUUAGCUGCUCUGAAUUUGCAUACAACAGAAAGGGAAGGGCCAUAGCUCGGUGAUAGAGUCUGUGCUUUGCAUGCAGAAGGUCUCAGUUUCAGUCCUCAGCAUCUCUAAGGAGGACCCUUGCCUGAAGUUUCAGGAAGCUGUUGCCAUUCAGUGCAGACAAUUCUGAGCUAGAUGGACCAAUUUUCUGACUCAGUAUAAAGCAGCUUCCUACAUUCCUAUAUUCCUGUCUAGAUAGUCAGUGUUCUAUAGCCACGCCAAAGCUAACAUUCUGAUCUUGAUAAUGCCAAGGGCAACAUCCAUUUUUGUUUGAGGGAUAUGGAUACAAGCAUCUUUCUAAAUCUUGGUCCACAUCCAUUUGCUUUCUUAGAUAUGCAGAAGCAUAUUUCCAACCAAGAAAUUAGUUGUUUUCGUCCUUGUGGGUUUGUUUGUUUGUGUUUUUCCACAAAAUAAAGAUUUGAGAAAUGUUUUUGGCGCAGAAAACGAAAUGUAUGCUCAAAGGCCCUUCCCAGCAUGUCCAAGAAUGUCACAUCAAAUAUUGUUCUUGAUAAAAGUGAACCACAGACAGCGCUAGAGAACAAAAAUUGAGAAAAGAAACAGACCUUAGACCUUGGACUCUUAAAAAAAAAAAAUAUUCAAAAGGACAAGUCUUAAUUUGAGACGGAAUAAAAGACUUGAGCACCUGAUGUUCAUUAGCAGAGGGGGGAAAGAAGCAUUGUCUUGAUAGCUUGGACAGAAACUGUUAGUGUGACGUGAAAUUAAAUUACCUGAACAGGAUCUGAAAAUAAAAGAAAUAGAAACCUGAUUUGUGAAAACAUUUCAGGUUUUUGAAUUCUUUCAAAGUCUGGAAAGGCAAACAAUAGAUCUCAGCUGCCACAGGGAUUGGCUUGUGGUUAAAGCACUGCUUUGGCAUUCUUUCAAAGUAGCUACAAGGCUCAAGCUGCUGGGAUCAUGGACUAGUUUUACCAAUGGACCACGAAAAAGCUGACCUAACCUGAUCUUCUGUGCAAGGUGUGUGUGUGUGUGUGUGUAGCCCUAUUUGGGGUGAGGAAGAGGUCCUAUUCAGUUCACAUUUGAAUGUGAACCUAACUAGGGCUGCAGUCACAUGGCAUUUCAUUCCAUUUGCUCAGCGUUUCCCUAACAGUUCAUUUUCACAUCAUAUUCAAGGUUUCACAUUAAGUAAAAGCCCUUUCUGGAAAUCUAGCAGAAUCUAGUGGAAGCCCAGUGCUCAUAUUCUGUGCUAAAAAUGCAUUUGCAGUCCACUGACCCAUCAAAUCGCAAGUGUAAAGGGACAAAAUUUGGGGUGGUAUCCCAGCUUCAUUCUAAUUUCUUUUAGGAGAAAAUGCACCUAGAACAUACGUUUAAGAUCUAGUGUGUACACAGCCACAUUUUCAAACACAUACAUAGGGUUCAAGGGAGGGUACAAUCUAGAAAUUAGUUGUUUCCAGAUCAUUUUUUUAAGCCACACACAACCUGCAGCUAAAUUCAACUUCAUCGUUUCUACAACGUGUGAAUGCUUAGAUUAUAUAGCUAACCAGGUUGUCAAACUCAUCCCCCUCAGUGCACUAUGUGAAGCUGCAGGAUUUGUGCAUCCAGUUUGCUCCAGGUUUCUUCAGGCUGAGGGAGGCAGAACCACAUCCCCAUUGCCAUUUGUUUUGCAUCUAUCACUUCCUCCAUAAGGAAUAGAUUCCAAUAGUUCUCAGAGAGAGCUUUAUGGAUAGCCUCCAACCAUAUUCUUACUCCCUCUUUCUCCUCCCACCUCCUCCAAUUAAUGGGUCUUGCCAAGGACAGACUUCUCAAAACUCAAACUCAUGGUCAAAUGCCCCUCAUACCCACUGCAGGGCCCUGGCUUACUCAUGGCUCCACUUCCUGUAUAAGUCACAAUAUUUUUGAAAUCAAAUCUUCCACUGUCCCAACGGUUAAAAGCAGCCCCAGGAGAAGUGACCCUCAUCUGUCAUUUGGCUUGGCUGACCCCCUUUCUGGCUCCCUCCCUUCUGCUGCAUACUGAUUUCCAUCCAGCAAAAGUUGGAUUGCUUGAGAGUGCUCCCUUGAGGACAAUGGCAACUGUCCGAAGACUGAUUUCAGACAACAUGUUGUGCUUUUCAACUCAGGUGAUUUUUCCUGCAUUCGUUUCUUUGCUGAAAUAAGUGACAACCUUGUAACACAAGAUAUGGUGACAGUGUCUGGCCCCUCCGUUUCUCUCUUCCACUAAAUUCUAUUAAGAGUAUUCAUAACAAUGGGACACACUAGAACAAAUGGUUUUCAUAAAUGUAAAUAGCCCUUAGGCCAAACGUCUUAUUCUGUAUGCCAAAUACCAAUUAGUCCUGAUUCCAAAGAGAAAAAUACACGGGAGGGGAACAAAAUGAGAAGGAAAUGGGAAGAAUAAAGUUUGAGUUUGGUUCUACUUGCAUUAAAAAAAAGUUUCUAGAUCCCCUUAUUUCACAGAAAGCCUUUGAAAAGAGAAUGGUGUUGUCUGUGAAAGAAUAAAACAGACGUAAAAUUACUUUUCGUUGUUCCUUUGCAUCUCCGUGGACUUGGGUUUUUACAAAUACAUAGUUUGAAUGAUCCAUUGUGGUUCUGAAUGGCAAAAAAAAAAAAGCUUUACAGGCCAAAACCAGGACUUUGAAGUGGCCCUAUUGGUUAUAUGACUGGUACUCCUGUUGAAUCCCUGACUUAUCUGUGGUAGAUAGAUGGCCUGGGUUGUUGACAUGAUUGCCCCUGAGCACCUUCUCCCACUAGAUAGAGCCUUGAUAUUACAACCAGGAAAACAAAUGAAAUAAUCCCCAUGUCUGAAUGCACCCUGAAUUGUUGACAGUGACUCUUGAGUAAGGACUGUUAAACAAUCCAUGUUGCUAACCCAUUUGUCCCCAGAUACAGGCAUUAAAAAAACAACAGACGAGACCUAAGGGAUGAAGCAGGAAAGAGAAAGGAGGAGCACAUAAUAAUAUUCCCAGUAUGAUAUUUCCUAGAAUGGGUGUGGAAAUUACACUGGCUCUUUAGCACUAGUUUCCAAAUAACUCUACUUUUGUUAUUCUUAAAUUCCCAGAAUGCAAUGGGAGGUAGUGGCUUUAGGCUGGUCAGGCACACCUGUGUCUAAAAGUGUUUCUGUCAUGCCUGUUUCUUUGUCCCUGGGAUUACUCUGAAACACAAGGUAGCUGUGGAAUAGGGAUUGGGAACACUGGGGGAUGCAGCUGUAAAGCCAGUGUGAGAGCUUACUGUGUCCUUGGACAGCUGUAAAAAUCCUCCUUCAGCGUAUUUGGUUAACAUUUUGGCUUAGCAUGUUUCAACUGCAAAAACAGGCUGCAGUAAUGAAUUUGGAUCCCAUCCAGGUUUUAUCCCCAAAUCCUGAUAAACAACUUUGGUCCCAGAAGUAGAAUGCUGGUGAUCUACCUAUGAGGAACGCAAAUCCCCAAACACUUUGUUACAUGUGCGGAGAAUAACAAGGUGCAACAUAAGGGCUGGCCGUAUCCUCAUUGAUGCAAGCUGGAAUUCUGCUGAGUCAUGCCAGCUCAAGGGUCUGUUUUGCUGUGCCGUCAAGUAGUGGAACACUUGGGGGAUGUGAAAGAAAAAUAUGAAAAUUAGAAUACUCCCAUCUUGGCUUCAUUUGCUAUUGUAAAAAUGUCACUAUAUGGCCUUUUUAAAAACCAGGCUGUUUCCCAAAUGUUUGAUUCCAGUUCUUUUCCUGGAUAGAAAUUUGGCAUAUUCUUGCACUCAAAAAUAUAUUGUUAUAUUCCCCAAACGUCAAGUCGGCAUUCUCUGUUGCACUUUGUCAUGGGGCAGUUAAUAUUGCAUCUUCAUGUUCCAUCUCAGUGGUGGUUUUAGGGUAAGCCUGACUUGUUCAGCCACACUGGGCACCAGUGCUGUAGGGGGCACUGCAACUAUGAUGUGGAACAGAGUGUGAGAGGCAGGGGUGCUAAAUUUUAGCACUGCACAGAUUCAGUUCUCCACAUUUCAUGUGCAAAUUUCUUUUUUAAUCCUCAUGAAAAUUAAUCAGCGUUUUAGUUCGAAUUUCUCCUACUAAACACAUUUUUCCCAAGCCACUGGCUGUAAUGUUGUAAUGCAUUGUUGUAUGUUAUUUUCACCAAUACACUAGUUUUUAUGCACACUUCCCCCAAUAUACACAUUUUUGGUAAACAUUGGCUGGUGAACUGCAUCGCAGCAUUCAGACACAUGCGAAUUUUGGUUCUAGUAUUGUUUUGGAAAGCAUGAAUUGGAUGAUUUGUCUUUAAAUACAAACUAAAUUGAAAUUCUCCCCCUUGCUUACAUCAAGGCAGUAGUAAAGCUUCUAAGGUUACUUAGUACCAGAGCUUAUUUUCAAAUGGAACUUGCCGGAACUCAGUUCCGGCACCUCUUAGGUGGACGCCAUUGCCAUUCUAAGAGAACAAGUGAGGCAUUCAUGGGGAGUCCCGGCACCUCUUUUUCUGGAAAAAUAGCACUGCUCAGUACCUGUCAGCUAUAAAACAGGCUUCACUGGGGUAUCUGAGUGCAUUGCUUGGGGUGAUGUCAUUGCCCACAUAUGGGUAGGGAGAGGGAGACACAGGGCUAUAUAGGGUGUCCCACUCCAAUGGGCAAUAAAGUUAUGCAUUGUACACAAGAUGGUGGCUUAGUUUGCCAAGGAGCCCUGCAGUUCAUCUCACAGCACAGAGUCACUUCUUCUCCAUAUGUUAUGGUGGAGUGAGUAGGCGAGUCCCAGCAUUUGGAAAUGGGAAAUGACCACAUCAGAGAGAUUUCUUGAAAGCCAGCUUUUCCCCCUCUGUUGCUAAUAUGAAAUUUCACGACCAUACAUAUAGCUCUUGGCAGAGCAGUUUAUGAGCAGGAAGCUUUUAGUUGCAAAGGUAAACAGAAGAGUAUAGAUGAGCACAUUGUUUGCUGACAUUUUUUUUUAUUACAGGAAAGAUAUUAUAUGGUGCUUUUCAUUGCUUUCAUUUUAUUGUAUAGCAGAAUUUUCCUACAGCGGCUGCUAUCGUUGGGCUCAGCAUUGCACGCUUAAGGCUGGGGCACAAAUCCAUGCUAAUCACCCAUUGUCCUGGGAUGCAGUUCCAUGUGCACAAAGGGGUUGCACACAGGGGGGGGAGGAGCCCCCUGCCCCCCAAACUGCAGAUGUGUUGCAUCAUUUGCAAACAUUCCUGUGCAUGUAUAAACUGUACAAAAAGACCCUGUUUUUGGCAGGAUUCAUGACUGUAUUGGCAGGGAUUGGUGGGCAUCCCAUUUGCACAUGGCAGAGACUCACAUGGUAUGCUGAAGGUAUGGACAGGUAGGGAAAUGGCCAUCAAACAUGAAAGGGUGCAAUACUCUUCCCUCCCUCUCUUCUCAUGUUCACUGUACAUGCAUACAAUGUGUGCUGUCAUAUAAUUUUUCAACGGAGUAAUUUCGAAGCCUUGGGCAGACAUUCUCUACUUUUGUGCAAUGCGUUAUUAAAAUUGGCUCAAAGCAACGUACAAAUACAUUGCAAACACUAAAACCCAAUUAAAACAAGCAAUAAAUUCUUUAAGAGCUCAUGUAUACAAAUAAGAAGUGCGGGUUCCACAGCUGCGUAAGAUUUUAUAGGUCAAAACCCAACACUUCAAAUUGAGCCCCAAAGCAAAAUGGUAGCCAUUUUGUGCAACCUUCCCAUCCCCCAGCAGGCUCCUUCACCCUCCAGGCCUGCAAAUUAUCUCCCCAGUUCCAAAGGGGCAGUGGUAAUAGUUAUGUGCAUUGGGUUUUGCACACAUAGGACCCUAUUCAACCAUGAUUCCAACAUAUGGAUGUCAGGAUGCCCCAGGAGCAGGGACUUAGGGUGGACAGAGAAGGCAGGAUCCUGACUAGCCCCAAUGUGUGUCCAUGUCAUUCACAACUGCUGGGUAACCAAGUGAUAAGAGCUGAAGCAGCAUGCACACCCGAAUGAGCCAUUCCUCCUGUUUUCCAUGCACUCUAAAAUGAACUCAUUGAGACGGUAAAACACACAAGGGGACUUUGCUAAAAAUGUGAGAAAGAGGAGACUAGACUAAAAAUAGAGGAGAAUGUCAUGGAAAAAGGAAGCUUUGAGAAGAGGUUUAAAGGAUGUACGGUGCGAUUAGGGAUAAGAUUUCUGGGAGGAAGCUCUGUGCAUAAGGAAAACUUUGAUUAACUGGAUGGAAUCAUUUCAAGAAGCAGAAAUCCCUUGGAUAACUGAGGAUGACAAUAAAAAACCCCAAAUUCUCAAACAGUAUAUUAAAACCAGAUCUGCCACCUUCCUGCUUUCAGCAGGAAACGCCAGCUAUUUAGGGCCAAUCUAAAUGGUAAUUUCCUGCUCUGACAUAAUCACUGUUUUUUAUGUCAUAGUGCAUGCACUCGUCGGAAAGAAAACUUUGGCUUUGUUGUUACACACUGGGCUGAUAACUUCCCUCCAGGAGAGACGAAAGCCUCAAAGCAUUACAGAAUGAGGAUCAUUGAUGCCAGGCAAGAAACCAAGGCAGAAGGGAGGAAAGGGCCUCACUGAGGAUUAGUGGAUUCCUUUUUUAAUUCCCUAGGAUCCCAGGAUUCAGCUAAGAGAUCAGGGGGGCUGUUUUGGCUGUUUUUCAUCAGCCAAAGGGAGUUCUAGUCCAAGACAUCUUGAGGGCAGAAGCUUGCACAAGGCUGAUGUAGGAGGUGGUGGAGAGCUCCUUUGAAAACAAGAAAGGCCCUGCUGGUGUCUCCUUGUUCCUGGUAGCCAAAAGGAAAGCACAUUGCCUGCUCUGAGACUCUCAAGAAUCUUGUUGCACCAAUGACCUGGAAGCUGUUAUAGGAGUCAGAUGGGACUCCCAAACUCUUCCGAUUUACAACCUCCUUUGUCUGCCUGAGGUAGUCCAGGCAUGAUAUUCGGGAUCCCACAGUCUAGUUGCAAAUCGGAAUCCUACGAAAUCCACUAAUGAAUAGAAGUAGUGUUGUCCACAUCCCAGGCUUGUACAGGAUAGCAGCUAAAGAGUUUAGGGUGGCUGGGGGGAAAAGAGGAUAUGAAUUCACAAAAAAGUGUGCAUGUCAGGGAGGUCAUUGUGAGAGCAGGAUGCUGGACUAGAUGGGCAAUUCAUCAUCAUCAACCCUUUUAUUGGCAUCACAUACAACAUCCAAAACAGAACAAUACAGAAUUACCACUUCCCUAGCGGCACAAAACAUUUGCUAAAAGAAAGGAGGCAGAGCAGUCUAUCGUCACAUCUCUUGGUCUCCAGGGAGAUCAGAUGUCUGCAGUGUAUUUUGACAACAAAAAACCAAAAACAGAUAUUUAGCCACUAACUUGGUGAGCUCCUGAUCAUUCCCCAGUAAUAGAAAAUGUAUGACCUCUGACUCUGGUUUCCAUUUGGGGAUACAGAGUUGAUCUAGAAAUUGUUGGCGGAGAUCAGAAUAUAGUUUACAAUUGAGAACCAUAUGUAUAAGGGUUUCCACCAGGUGGUCUUCACAUGGGCAAGUUCUUUCUCCUUCCACCCUGCCUGAGAACCUUCCCCAAAGGAGGUUUGAUGGUUUUGAAUUAAACCUGGCCAGCAAAAAUGCUAGAUGGGCAACUGGCCUGAUGCAGCAAGGCUCUUCUUAUGUUUUCUGUUUUUCGUGAUGCAGAAGAGGUGCCCCUGGAAGCAACACUGUAACCCCAACAUUUAUAAGCCUUUGACACACUAACUCCCAAAUAGUUUUGCAAAUGGAUUUUCCACAUAAUACUUCAUCUCUCCUCAACCCCUUUAUUGGCACCCAGUAAGACACAAUUACAGGAAUGAAACAAGAUUAUGCUUUGUGAGAGUAAUGCCUCUGGACAGAAAGUUGCUAUUGCUUCAGGAUUCAAUUAGAAUUGUUUUCUUUGACUUUGUAAGUGUAGGGAAAACACGGAAUAUUAAACGGAAAUAAAAUUAAAACGAGUUGCAUGUGUUUUUGUGCUCCUCUAAAUGUUGGGCAUUGAGUUUGGUAUGACUCCUGGAGAACUAUUCUGCUUUUUAUUAUGUCUGUGCAAGAACCUGCAUUAUAACUUUAUCUCUCUAUCUGUUUAUACUUGGGCCAGCUGGUUUGUGGCCUAUAGCAUGGUUUUUGGCCUAGCAGGAAAAUGAGCAGAUCAAGUACAGUUCCUGGGCAAUUAUUUUCAAAAAGUUAACAGAAGCUGAAGAAGACCCUGUUUUGUGAAUACGUCUAUGUAGACUAAAAAAUCAAAAUGAAUAAUUUAGGGCAAAAUUCACAAAACGCUACACUCAUAUUGUACAUACCUACUGCGUCAUACCAGUGGAAGCUCCUGUGCCUCUCAAAAGCCCAGAAAUAUCUGGUUUGCAUGACAUGGAAAGCCAUACUAUGGCUUACCAGGACCGUUCAAACAUUUGGGCUUGCAAUCACUUUGCUCCUCCCCAGUCUUCUUUGCUCCUGCAAAAUUCUGUUCUAAACCAACUUUAGUGUGUUGUCCAAAACUUGAUGGAUGAUCCAGCUCUCUCCAGACAGUCCAUGAGCUGUAACCAAGGUGUGUUCUUGGCUGCAGGUCAUGGUUUGUGAGGACAGAGCUUAGUGCAUUCAUCAGCAAUGCCUCAAAUAAAUUCCAGUGCCGAAACAGUUUCAUACUGGGGGUGGGGAAGUAGCAUGAUGCUAAUUGUGUGGAUGCAGUUAAUGUACAGGGUUUAUUUUUUGUUCUGUAAACAGAUUCCAGGAAGCCUGAGCAGCUUCAGGAGGGAUGGAGACUCACCUCUUUCCCUGCCACAUUCAUGAGAAAAAUCACAUCUCUGAAGCUGCUUUUUGCCUUUAAUAGGAAGCUCCCAUUAGUGCCAAAGAAGGCUUGCCUUGAAAUGCAAGUAGCAGCUCCAGAGAGAUUUUUCUUUUCUUGGUAUUUUUGCAGCAGGGAGAGAAAGGGUUGCAUCCAUCGUACAAAUGGUAUGACUUCUGCUCUUGUAAAUGAAACGCGCCCCCCUCACCCCCCCAAAAAAAGCAGAUUGGGUGUUGCAAGGGUGUGCAGGGUGAACAGAGAGAGAGGUGCAAUACCCUGUUUGUGCAAUGGCUUCAUUGAAUAGAGCACAUGAUGCUAAAUGUAUCAUCCAGGUUGAUCCCAAGGUUGCUUCAGGCUUCCCCGAGGCUGCUAACUACAGAACCAGGAAAAAAAUGCAUGUGGAUUCCAGUCACAAAUUUACAUUAUGUCUUGUUUGGCCCUGGGUACUUCAAUUCACAGUGUCCUGUGGGUCUGGUUAACUUUUGUAAUGUACACAAUAUCUUUUUAUUUUUGUCGCUCUGUUUUGCUUUCUACAUGGGUGCUAUUUCUUGUUUCUUCUUUUUUUUGUGUCUUAUCUUAUUCUGUGCACUUGUAAUUUUGUACUUUUUAAAUUUUGC